CAAUAAACAAAAAUCAGAAAACAUGUUGUUCCUCUGGAAACUCCAUGGCUGCUUCUGCUUCCUCCAACCUGCUUACUGACUUGUUAUCGCCAUGACAACAAAGCAAACUCCACAGAGUCAAUGAUCUGAAGUACAACCGCAGAAAACAUGAUCUAUUUCUGAGUGUAAAACUGAUCAAAUAUAUGACAAAAAAUGAUUUAAUUUCAGUAUUAAAAGUAUUUUCCACAUGGGGGAGAAAAAGGCCACAAAUGUUGACUCUUCCAAACACAGCAGGACAAAACCGGCUGCUUUUUCCACCAGAACAGGAAGGGAACGGCGUUCUUUCCAUCCUUUUCCCAGAAAAACCCAACAACCAUCAAGAGGACAGUAACAGAAGAGACGAGAGGGAGGCCGAGAGGAAGUGAGACAGAGAGAAAGAUUUUGGAUAACGGCCACUUGGUAUGUACACAACCACGGCGAAAGGAAAUAAACACGUCCACUUCUGAGGCGUCCAGGGUGAGAGAUA